GGUUAAGCGACUAAGCGUACACGGUGGAUGCCCUGGCAGUCAGAGGCGAUGAAGGACGUGCUAAUCUGCGAUAAGCGUCGGUAAGGUGAUAUGAACCGUUAUAACCGGCGAUUUCCGAAUGGGGAAACCCAGUGUGUUUCGACACACUAUCAUUAACUGAAUCCAUAGGUUAAUGAGGCGAACCGGGGGAACUGAAACAUCUAAGUACCCCGAGGAAAAGAAAUCAACCGAGAUUCCCCCAGUAGCGGCGAGCGAACGGGGAGCAGCCCAGAGCCUGAAUCAGUGUGUGUGUUAGUGGAAGCGUCUGGAAAGGCGCGCGAUACAGGGUGACAGCCCCGUACACAAAAAUGCACAUGCUGUGAGCUCGAUGAGUAGGGCGGGACACGUGGUAUCCUGUCUGAAUAUGGGGGGACCAUCCUCCAAGGCUAAAUACUCCUGACUGACCGAUAGUGAACCAGUACCGUGAGGGAAAGGCGAAAAGAACCCCGGCGAGGGGAGUGAAAAAGAACCUGAAACCGUGUACGUACAAGCAGUGGGAGCACGCUUAGGCGUGUGACUGCGUACCUUUUGUAUAAUGGGUCAGCGACUUAUAUUCUGUAGCAAGGUUAACCGAAUAGGGGAGCCGAAGGGAAACCGAGUCUUAACUGGGCGUUAAGUUGCAGGGUAUAGACCCGAAACCCGGUGAUCUAGCCAUGGGCAGGUUGAAGGUUGGGUAACACUAACUGGAGGACCGAACCGACUAAUGUUGAAAAAUUAGCGGAUGACUUGUGGCUGGGGGUGAAAGGCCAAUCAAACCGGGAGAUAGCUGGUUCUCCCCGAAAGCUAUUUAGGUAGCGCCUCGUGAAUUCAUCUCCGGGGGUAGAGCACUGUUUCGGCAAGGGGGUCAUCCCGACUUACCAACCCGAUGCAAACUGCGAAUACCGGAGAAUGUUAUCACGGGAGACACACGGCGGGUGCUAACGUCCGUCGUGAAGAGGGAAACAACCCAGACCGCCAGCUAAGGUCCCAAAGUCAUGGUUAAGUGGGAAACGAUGUGGGAAGGCCCAGACAGCCAGGAUGUUGGCUUAGAAGCAGCCAUCAUUUAAAGAAAGCGUAAUAGCUCACUGGUCGAGUCGGCCUGCGCGGAAGAUGUAACGGGGCUAAACCAUGCACCGAAGCUGCGGCAGCGACACUAUGUGUUGUUGGGUAGGGGAGCGUUCUGUAAGCCUGUGAAGGUGUGCUGUGAGGCAUGCUGGAGGUAUCAGAAGUGCGAAUGCUGACAUAAGUAACGAUAAAGCGGGUGAAAAGCCCGCUCGCCGGAAGACCAAGGGUUCCUGUCCAACGUUAAUCGGGGCAGGGUGAGUCGACCCCUAAGGCGAGGCCGAAAGGCGUAGUCGAUGGGAAACAGGUUAAUAUUCCUGUACUUGGUGUUACUGCGAAGGGGGGACGGAGAAGGCUAUGUUGGCCGGGCGACGGUUGUCCCGGUUUAAGCGUGUAGGCUGGUUUUCCAGGCAAAUCCGGAAAAUCAAGGCUGAGGCGUGAUGACGAGGCACUACGGUGCUGAAGCAACAAAUGCCCUGCUUCCAGGAAAAGCCUCUAAGUAUCAGGUAACAUCAAAUCGUACCCCAAACCGACACAGGUGGUCAGGUAGAGAAUACCAAGGCGCUUGAGAGAACUCGGGUGAAGGAACUAGGCAAAAUGGUGCCGUAACUUCGGGAGAAGGCACGCUGAUAUGUAGGUGAAGUCCCUCGCGGAUGGAGCUGAAAUCAGUCGAAGAUACCAGCUGGCUGCAACUGUUUAUUAAAAACACAGCACUGUGCAAACACGAAAGUGGACGUAUACGGUGUGACGCCUGCCCGGUGCCGGAAGGUUAAUUGAUGGGGUUAGCCGCAAGGCGAAGCUCUUGAUCGAAGCCCCGGUAAACGGCGGCCGUAACUAUAACGGUCCUAAGGUAGCGAAAUUCCUUGUCGGGUAAGUUCCGACCUGCACGAAUGGCGUAAUGAUGGCCAGGCUGUCUCCACCCGAGACUCAGUGAAAUUGAACUCGCUGUGAAGAUGCAGUGUACCCGCGGCAAGACGGAAAGACCCCGUGAACCUUUACUAUAGCUUGACACUGAACAUUGAGCCUUGAUGUGUAGGAUAGGUGGGAGGCUUUGAAGUGUGGACGCCAGUCUGCAUGGAGCCGACCUUGAAAUACCACCCUUUAAUGUUUGAUGUUCUAACGUUGACCCGUAAUCCGGGUUGCGGACAGUGUCUGGUGGGUAGUUUGACUGGGGCGGUCUCCUCCUAAAGAGUAACGGAGGAGCACGAAGGUUGGCUAAUCCUGGUCGGACAUCAGGAGGUUAGUGCAAUGGCAUAAGCCAGCUUGACUGCGAGCGUGACGGCGCGAGCAGGUGCGAAAGCAGGUCAUAGUGAUCCGGUGGUUCUGAAUGGAAGGGCCAUCGCUCAACGGAUAAAAGGUACUCCGGGGAUAACAGGCUGAUACCGCCCAAGAGUUCAUAUCGACGGCGGUGUUUGGCACCUCGAUGUCGGCUCAUCACAUCCUGGGGCUGAAGUAGGUCCCAAGGGUAUGGCUGUUCGCCAUUUAAAGUGGUACGCGAGCUGGGUUUAGAACGUCGUGAGACAGUUCGGUCCCUAUCUGCCGUGGGCGCUGGAGAACUGAGGGGGGCUGCUCCUAGUACGAGAGGACCGGAGUGGACGCAUCACUGGUGUUCGGGUUGUCAUGCCAAUGGCACUGCCCGGUAGCUAAAUGCGGAAGAGAUAAGUGCUGAAAGCAUCUAAGCACGAAACUUGCCCCGAGAUGAGUUCUCCCUGACUCCUUGAGAGUCCUGAAGGAACGUUGAAGACGACGACGUUGAUAGGCCGGGUGUGUAAGCGCAGCGAUGCGUUGAGCUAACCGGUACUAAUGAACCGUGAGGCUUAACCUU
rnacentral:rRNA from 1 species